rnacentral:rRNA from 1 species
GACGUAGGGGGCCAGCGUUGUUCGGAAUUACUGGGCGUAAAGGGUUCGUAGGCGGUGUGGCAAGUCGGGAGUGAAAUCUCUGGGCUCAACCCAGAGUCUGCUUCCGAAACUGCUGUGCUUGAGUGUGGGAGAGGCGCGUGGAAUUGCAGGUGUAGCGGUGAAAUGCGUAGAUAUCCGGAGGAACACCGGUGGCGAAGGCGGCUUCCUGGACCGAUUACUGACGCUGAGGCGCGAAAGCUAGGGGAGCAAACGGG